GACGGAGGAUGCAAGCGUUAUCCGGAAUGAUUGGGCGUAAAGCGUCUGUAGGUGGCUUCUUAAGUCCGCUGUCAAAUCCCAGGGCUUAACCCUGGCCAGGCGGUGGAGACUACUAAGCUUGAGUACGGUAGGGGCAGAGGGAAUUUCCGGUGGAGCGGUGGAAUGCGUAGAGAUCGGAAAGAACACCAAGGGCGAAGGCGCGCUGCUGGGCCGACACUGACACUGAGAGACGAGAGCUAGGGGAGCAAAUGGG
rnacentral:rRNA from 1 species